CUUCAGUGCGUACCCUGCUGUGAUUGGAGCUGCCAUUGGAGGGAUGCUCAUCGCUGCCAUAGCAACCAUUCUGCUGUUCAUGUACAUAAUCCGCAACCGCAACAACAACCCCCGACUCCAUGACAUGCUGUUUGGAAUGCAGCACAGCCGGUCCAGGGAGAACAUCAACCUGCCUGAUGAUGAGGUGAUGGGAGGAGUUGACGGAGAGGGAGGAGCUACAGAACAUUGCCCCUCCCCUAGCCCAGGUACCCUAAUGUCUCAUUAACAUAAUGAGAUGUAAUCUCCCCCCAGGCCCAUGUCAUUAAAGUAGUAAUAUGUAGCAAUCGCUCCGUGAUUGGUUGCCACAAUUCUGUUUGUCUAAUUUCAGUUUGAGACAAAACAAAACAAGUGUAGAAUAUUUACAUUGUAGUCAUUUAGCAGAUGCUCUAAUCCAGAGCAUAUCAUUGUAUACCCAAACUGUGAAAUAUAUUUUCAAUAACCUAAAAUAAUGUUUGAAGCUGGUGUAUCAAACACAAACUAAGACAAAACCAAAUUUAAGAAAAGGAAGCAUAUAGAGCACAAAGAACAGAUCUACCUCUUCUUAGACUUGCUUACAAUGAGAACGACAGAUCUAUAACUCACAUUUCUAUGUUAAUUUGGGUCACGUCACCCAAAAAGUUAUAUACUGGAUCUUUAACAUGUUAAUAAAUCCAAUCAGUUCUAUGAUGAUAAAUUAAUCUUCUCUUCUCUAGGUCCGUCCAUGUCCUCUCCUAGGGCUGCCUCCCCCCUCUCUGCCUCCCCCGUCUCCCCUCCUCUACCCGCUGAGGACAACGACCCUGUCACCGUCACCAUCACCGUCAUGGCAACGGGCUGAAGAUCACACACACAUCCAUACAUACUGGAUAAUGCUGCGUUCAUAACAAGUGGGAAACUCGGCAAAUACAAUUUGUAUUGAAAGUACAGCUAUCAUGCUCAAAAACAUUAGUGUUCAAAUACCAUACUAAUAGAUUGUUUUUCAUAAAUAAUGUUUUGCUGUUGCAUUUAACUUCCAAAAAUGCUGUUAUCAAGGUAAUUUCCUUAGUAUGUGAUGUCAGAGUUCAGCAUGUGGGAGAAGUCGAGGCUCAGAGAUGAUAGACGAGUUUCCCACUAGUAAUUAUCAGUUGGAAGGGCGUGCAAGUGGAUUUUUCCAAGUCAUGUGCUGGUAUUUACCAAUAUAAGAGAUGGUGUGAAUG